GGGGAUUUGGCUCAGUGGUAGAGCGCUUGCCUAGGAAGCACAAGGUCCUGGGUUCGAUCCCCAGUCCUG
rnacentral:tRNA from 1 species